rnacentral:lncRNA from 1 species
GGCGCGGGGCUAAGGGGCCCCUGCGGGCGGGACCCGGGGACUGAGGCCACCCGCCCCGGCCCCCGGCCCCUCUAGCUGCCCCUGCCUUUUGUAUUUCCCAACAUUUCCGAAGCUUCGAGCUCUCCCUUCCCACGAGGCAGCUCCUCCGAGAAGGCUGAGCGGUUGCACCUUUUUUGCGAAGGACUCACAGGACUGAUCCUGACCUGGUCCCCACCUGGCCACUGGGUAGGGGGGGCCGGGAUCAAGCUCUGCCCCGGGAAAGCUGACAGUCCUUUGGGAGGGAGGAGAAAGGCUGGCCUACAGGAAGGAAUGUAGAGUCCACUUGGCACCCCUAGGCUUCCAGCUUCCCUGCCUUGCACCUCCAGUCCUGCCGAGCCUUCUUCCUCCCCGGAGAGGCCCGGCUCAGGCUGGUCCUUUACUCGGGAAAUGCUGUUCCCAGACCCACUCCCAUCGAAGUCCUUGCAGAACCUGCUCUGUUGGGGUCUUGCUCCCCUCCCUUGGAGGACUGUGGGAAGGAGGGGAAAGGACUCUUGCUGGAGAAGCCCACACAGACUUUCAUCUUCCACAACCACACUUUUGGGGUACCCAGGGUCUCCAACUGGGGGAGGCCCCACCACACUCCAGCCCCAGGGAUCCUGCGGUGUCUGCCCUGCCUCUCCCCAAGGGACCCCAUUAGUGACUCCAUCAGUGUCAUCCAAAUCCUAUCCCUCUUCCAGUAACCAGAGAUAAUGAGACUUGUUUGUGGGGUGCUUGGAAUUGCCCCACAUGAAAGGUUCUGAGUGCUGGGGUGGCUGGGAAAGAAAGUGAGGGAACCGUUCCCCAGCAUGGGGUGUGAUGGGGAGACCAAGGCAGAUACAAGGUUCCAAUUUUAGUUGAAAUUCCCUUCCUCCCACCUCCUGGAAGUAAUGGAUUAGACUCAUACCUACCUGCAGGCAGAACCUCAGCCUCAAGGCCUGGAAGAAGUCUUGCCCUCAGCUUCUGCCCCAAGCAUUCCAAAGCCAGGUGUGGAGGAGCCCCCGGCCCAAGACAGCCUCCCAGCCCUGUCCCUGGAAGGUCCAGGUGACUGAGAAGGGAAAGUGUUUCUUCUCUACUUUUCUCUGCUGUACACAUUCCCACUGUGGAAGGGAGAGUGUUGACAGGGUAUGCAGAGUCCUUCAAUGGGGUUCCUGCCACACCCCAAAUGCGGACAGAACCAGGAGGGAGAGCUGUGGAUGGGGUCCCCUGCACAUUCUGGAAGCCAGCUAGGGACCAGUGGGCAAUGCGCUGGGAAGCUCCAGCCCCUGUGCCUGUAUCCCUUCCACUGUGACCUGCACUUUGGGGGACCAGUCCAUGGCCAAAAUGAGGUAGCCAUUCCUGCACACAAGCAGCAAGAUAGAGUCCUCCUUGGUGGUGAGGAAGGAGGCCAGAGGAUGAGGAGCAACAGCUUCUCACUUUAGGAGCCCAGGGACCCCUGAGCACCCUCUCACUGAUGUGCCAGCCUCGGAUGGGGUAGCAUGCAGGGCAGAGGGAUCCUGCUCCAAAUUCUCUGUUGGCUGCGCUUUUUUUAAUCCUGCUUUUCAGAGUGGAUUCACUCACCCACACAAAUAGAGCCCUGUGCUUUAGGGGUGACUGUCAUAUGCCUUAUUCUUAAUAAAAUAUUUGAGAAACAUGCAAGUCAGUUCUCUUCCUGUGGGCACUGCUUCCCCACAUCUGUUUCCACAUGUGGGGAAGAGGAUGUGGAGAAGGUAAGAGUGGCCCGGGAGCCAACCUAUGGUCUCCCAGGCAGGUUCUCAUGAUCAGAUGAGGAAUGAGGUUCAUUCUCUCGCUCUCUCUCUCUGAUUGAGUUGAACCAAACAAAGACCUUCAUACCGAGCUAUGUCUCCAGCCCUUUAUUUUUUAAGUUUGAGAGAGGGUCUUGUUAAAUUACCCAGGCUGGGCUCAAGCUUGUGAUCCUCCUGCCUCAGCCUCCCAAAGUGCUGGGAUUGUAGGCUCUCCAUCACCAUGACCCGCAUAAGGUUCUCCUUUGUGUGUCCUGGUUCUCAGCCUCCCCCUGCUCCUGCUCCAUGUAACCCUAACCCAAAUGAACAAACAAAAUCUUAACUCAGAGUCUCUUGACUAGGCUGGAGGAUAAUAGAUUGGAAGGACCCUGUGCUAGAAAUUGUCCACUGUUCUGGCCUAGAAGGAAUUCUCAGGUUCUGGCACCUUUGACCAUGUUGGUUUCAUGCCCCUGUCUAUCUGAGCUCCAAGAAGCCCAGCACACUCAUGAUGAGCCCUUUCUUAUCCUCUACUAGUGAGAGUUAUCUUGGGACUGCAGCUUUAGGCACCCAGUACACCCAGCAUCCACAAAAAUUCAAAUGAGAAUGUUUUCAAUGUGGGUCUGUAUUGUGAAUGACUCUGGGAGAAAAGGAGAGUUGCUCUGCAUUCCGAGAAUGCAGGGGACAUGUACUGUUUUGCAUGCAACUCUUCUAAUACAAGGACCUGUCUUCCUUUUGAGGAACUGCCUUCUGCCCAUCUCAGUCUGUGUUU